GAAUUGGAGGUCAAUAAGCAGAAAUUUGAGGGGAAAAAUGAAAAUCUGAGGGGAAAAAACAUGAAUUUGCAGGGGUAAAGUAGAAAUGUGAGGAAUGGGAGGUUUUUUUGGGAUUUAAGUGGGAAUUCCGGACUCACUUGCACUCGGCCUCGGCGUCGGCCUUGGCUGUGGUGUAGAGCCCGCGGAGCUUGGUGCG